AUAGCAAAUAUGGGGGAUUUCCUUCUAUCUUCUCUUUGAAGAAACCAAUAUUGCUUUCAUUGUUUUGCUUUAUUCUGAUUAAUUGUUUUGCUCUAUUCUAUAUUCUAUUUUGAUUGGUUUUACAGUGUUCUGUUUUUGGUUUGAUUUUGCUAUACCUGAUUGAAUGGACAACAAUUGUGAAGACAACAAGGUCUAGUUGGAAGCCAUGGACAACGAGCAUUAGAGAACCGAGAGGAGGUCUGGAACAUCUCAGGCUAAACCUGAAGGCUCAGCCCUCCUUCCACACCUGGUACCCACAGCUCUCUGCUCCAGCUGUGCUCACAGCACACCCUGCAUGCAGCUCUGAUCUUCACUGCCUCUUCUCCUUGGCUCCUACAUCUUGAGAGCUCCUCCUCAAUGUCCACGUGAAGACUCAACUCUUACUUCCGGCAGGAAGCAUUCUCUGGUUCCUAGUACCAGAAGCAACCUCCUUCUCUUCUUUCAACUCACACAACUCUUUUCACACCCAGGACACUUUUUAUAGUCUUCUUGCACUGUGGUUAUUUUUAUACUGCAUCUCCCUGGUAUAGUAUAAAUCUAGUAGGAUCUUGCCUCAUUCUCUCUUAAACUCCAUAGCGCUGCAUACUCCAAAAUAAAAUCUACAUUCAAGCCCUGUGUA